GGAAGCUAGGUUGGUAGAGGGUGGUGGGCAGCCCUGAAGCUGAGGAGGUGUUGAUCUGAAGGAGAGACGCGGCGAGUGAUCUCCUCAGUUUAAUCUAGGUUUAUGGACCACACCUGUCUCCUUCCUUGCCUCCUUCUGCCUCCCGUAAGGAAGAUAUCAAAAUCUCGCCGGUGUUGUUUCGUUAGUUACAUUUCUGUAUAACAAUGAUAGCAUUUAUUGACUUAUUGAACAAACGCCCAGUAAAUACAAAGGCUCUAAGAAGGAAGUGAAUUUUGAGUAAGAACGAGAUAAAUACUAUGGUUUAAGCAAAGUGAAGUAGUAUAGAAAACUAGUUAGGAGAGGUAAACAAUGGCCAGACGGACUAUGGUUUUGUACAGGAUUUAUAAGGAGUUUCAAUUGUAUUUUAGAGUGAGAAUCAAUUGGAGGACUUUAAGCUAGGAAGUGUCAUGAUCGUACUUACAUUUCUAAACGAUCAUUUUACCUACUAAACAGAAAAUAAACUUUUGCCAGGGAAGGGACAAGGGAAGCACUGGAUCAAGUAUGGAGGCUAUUUCAUUAGACCAGGUGGGAGAAGGGGUCUAGAAGUGAAAAGCUGUGAAUUUCAGAAUAUUUUGGAAAAGAGAACUGAAAGAUCUUGAUAAUGCAUUGCAUGGGGAAUAGAGGAAAAGAGAGAAUCAAAGAAGAUGCCUGUGUUUUGAGCUUGAGCAACUGAGUGAUGAAAUGUACAGAUAGGAUGAACAAUGAAGCCGUAACAGGCCAGUGCACCAGGUAGAUGGUGACGCACAUACCGGUCCCGCCCUGGAAUUCCUAACAGGUCAGCUACCAGACAGAUGACGACACCUGGAAACAGUGACGACCCCCGCGGCAGGAACUCCCACAGCUCAUGCUCCACCGCCCUCACUGAACAGCUGUAUGAAAAAAUGCCCCUACUCCCUCUUGGCGCGACUGCACUGGCCCAACCCCAAGACCUGUGGACCUCGCCCGAGAGCGCAGAAUAAAUUCCCCUCCUUCA